rnacentral:rRNA from 1 species
UACGUAGGGGGCAAGCGUUGUCCGGAUUUAUUGGGCGUAAAGAGCGUGUAGGCGGCCAUGCAGGUCAGCUGUGAAAACUCGAGGCUCAACCUCGAGACGUCGGUUGAAACCGUAUGGCUAGAGUCCGGAAGAGGAGAGUGGAAUUCCCGGUGUAGCGGUGAAAUGCGCAGAUAUCGGGAAGAACACCUAUGGCGAAGGCGGUUCUCUGGGACGGUACUGACGCUGAGACGCGAAAGCGUGGGGAGCGAACAGG